CAGGCUGAGCUUUGGGGCCUUGUAAUGUCUUCUAACUUACAAGGCAUCUAUAUAAUUGUUUUUCAUUGCCAACAAUGGCAUUUUUUGUUAUAAGUACUUUUUGAAAACUAAUAUAUGCCCAUUUUAAAGAAGUUCAAGCACACCUCCCAAGCCCUGUGCAAAGUUUCCAUCCAUGGAGAGCCAUGCCCACCAAGCCUCAAGCGUGAGCAAUUAACCUGAAGAAGACCAGUUCCAAAGCACAUAGCUUCCAAUCUGGAACACUUCACGAAGCCCAGCUCAGCAGGAUCUCUGAACAGACAAGCAAAGUGGGGAGCAGGAAGAGGAGAGGACCUCGGGAGUGUGCAGUCUCCACCUCCUUCCCAUCCUUAAUGAACCAGAUCUUUCCAAGGAGACUACCAAGCUGAGGAUCUGGAGAAGCUACAAGCUGUAUUGGUGGCAUGUACUUAUGAAUGCUGCGAGACAAAGCCUUCAGAGCUGGCCCCAGAUGUGAGGCGGUGUUACCAGUGAACAUGGAUGUGGCGCCACAGCAAGGACAGCUGAGGCGGGGCAGGACCUUCUCCACUGUCCCCACUCUGGACUCUGCAAGCACCGUAUCUGGCCAGAGACAAAGUGGCUGGUAUCUGACUGGGUACUCAGCCACCAGCCUGCUGCAUCUGGCUGUCCCUGGGAAGAAAGGAGGAUACAAGUUUUAGGUUUUAAAUUUUAAAAUGUAUUUUUAAUAAAUAAUCUUUGCACGCAGUCCAGUGUGUGGAGAAGGGUCUCUCUCCUCCUCCUGCCUCUGUCCCUCAGGGCUCCUGACUCCUUCCUGAGAAGCAACCUCCUCCGCUGCCUGAUUCCUUGGGUCCUGUGGGGUUCUUAGCACACACAGCUGGGGCACUUGAUUCUGUUACACAAAGGGCAGCACACUGCACUGCUGUUUAUUUAGCCA
rnacentral:lncRNA from 1 species